rnacentral:lncRNA from 1 species
CAAGGUAUUGCAGUUUGGAAGUGGGAACAGAAGAGACUGUGCAAUCUUCACAGGAGAACAUUGUCAUGACAAAGAGGACAAACAAGUUCAAGGCAAAAAACUAAACCAUAACCUUGGGAUUCAAGGAAAAAGUCAUCAAGCACAGAGCUCCCGCCAUUUCUGUUCUUUGGCAACCCUGAAAAAGCUGAAAGAGGCUGAUCAUCGCUAAUGUAUUGAACAUCUUUUGAAGCCCCAAUGACUGCCACCAACAAAGAACAGACACAUGUGCUAUCUGGACUCAAUGUUCUGCGGCGAAAUGCGACGUUCUUUAUUUUAGUGUGUCAUCAAAGGCGAUGAAAAUAUCAUUCUAGCCUUCUAGGCUUAACCCUGUGGACUCUCGAUGACUAGAAGUUUCAUGUGAGCAGCGCACACACCCAGUCAGCGUGAGCAGCAGCACUGGCCCACGCAGGUCCACGGCACGGAAAGGAGAUUCGAUUCACAAAUCUGUUACCCGGACAUUUUU